UACGUAGGGUGCAAGCGUUGCCCGGAUUUAUUGGGCGUAAAGGGCGCGUAGGCGGCUCGGCACGUCCGUUGUGAAAUCGCCCGGCUCAACUGGGCGGGGUCAGCGGAUACGGCCGAGCUUGAGCAAGCUAGGGGGCAAUGGAAUUCCCGGUGUAGUGGUGGAAUGCGCAGAUAUCGGGAAGAACACCCGUGGCGAAGGCGGCUCUCUGGAACGCAACUGACGCUGAGGCGCGACAGCGUGGGGAGCAAACAGG
rnacentral:rRNA from 1 species